CCUACGGGGGGCUGCAGUGGGGAAUAUUGGACAAUGGGGGCAACCCUGAUCCAGCCAUGCCGCGUGUGUGAAGAAGGCCCUCGGGUUGUAAAGCACUUUCAGUGAGGAAGAACGCCUGGUGGUUAAUACCCAUCAGGAAAGACAUCACUCACAGAAGAAGCACCGGCUAACUCCGUGCCAGCAGCCGCGGUAAUACGGAGGGUGCGAGCGUUAAUCGGAAUUACUGGGCGUAAAGCGCGCGUAGGUGGCUUGAUAAGCCGGUUGUGAAAGCCCCGGGCUCAACCUGGGAACGGCAUCCGGAACUGUCAAGCUAGAGUGCAGGAGAGGAGGGUAGAAUUCCCGGUGUAGCGGUGAAAUGCGUAGAGAUCGGGAGGAAUACCAGUGGCGAAGGCGGCCUUCUGGACUGACACUGACACUGAGGUGCGAAAGCGUGGGUAGCAAACAGGAUUAGAUACCCGUGUAGUC
rnacentral:rRNA from 1 species